UUUAAAUACAAUCAUGAGUUUUCAUGUUAAACUUUGAGUGUCUGUCUUAUUUGAAAAAAAAAUUAUGAUUAGUAUUUUUAUUGUUAUUACAUGAUAAAACAUGAAUAAAACAUGAAUGACACUUUAUGUGUGACUUAUAUUUUUAUUCUUUUUUAAAAAAAAUUAAAUUAAACGGACGAUCAAAGUUGGGUACGAAAAAUCAUGGCUACACUUAAA
rfam:Oryza sativa Japonica Group DNA, chromosome 9, cultivar: Nipponbare, complete sequence.